rnacentral:rRNA from 1 species
UACAACUUUUGACAACGGAUCUCUUGGUUCUCCCAUCGAUGAAGAACGCAGCGAAAUGCGAUAAGUAAUGUGAAUUGCAGAAUUCAGUGAAUCAUCGAAUCUUUGAACGCACCUUGCGCCCUUAAGCAUUCUUAAGGGCAUGCCUGUUUGAGUGUCAUAAA